rnacentral:rRNA from 1 species
UACGGAGGCAGCAGUGGGGAAUAUUGCACAAUGGGCGCAAGCCUGAUGCAGCCAUGCCGCGUGUAUGAAGAAGGCCUUCGGGUUGUAAAGUACUUUCAGUCGUGAGGAAGGUGUUAAGGUUAAUAACCUUAGCAAUUGACGUUAGCGACAGAAGAAGCACCGGCUAACUCCGUGCCAGCAGCCGCGGUAAUACGGAGGGUGCGAGCGUUAAUCGGAAUUACUGGGCGUAAAGGGCACGCAGGCGGUUAAUUAAGUUGGAUGUGAAAUCCCCGGGCUUAACCUGGGAAUGGCAUUCAAGACUGGUUAGCUAGAGUCUUGUAGAGGGGGUAGAAUUCCAUGUGUAGCGGUGAAAUGCGUAGAGAUGUGGAGGAAUACCGGUGGCGAAGGCGGCCCCUGGACAAAGACUGACGCUCAUGUGCGAAAGCGUGGGGAGCAAAACAGGGAUUAGAUACC